AACGAACGCUGGCGGCAGGCCUAACACAUGCAAGUCGAGCGAGAUCUUCGGGUCUAGCGGCGGACGGGUGAGUAACGCGUGGGAAUAUGCCUCUUGGUACGGAAUAGCCUCGGGAAACUGGGAGUAAUACCGUAUGUGCCCUUUGGGGGAAAGAUUUAUCGCCAAGAGAUUAGCCCGCGUUGGAUUAGGUAGUUGGUGGGGUAAUGGCCUACCAAGCCGACGAUCCAUAGCUGGUUUGAGAGGAUGAUCAGCCACACUGGGACUGAGACACGGCCCAGACUCCUACGGGAGGCAGCAGUGGGGAAUCUUAGACAAGGGGGGCAACCCUGAUCUAGCCAUGCCGCGUGAGUGAUGAAGGCCUUAGGGUUGUAAAGCUCUUUCAGCUGGGAAGAUAAUGACGGUACCAGCAGAAGAAGCCCCGGCUAACUCCGUG
rnacentral:rRNA from 1 species